AGCGUAGGCGGAGGAAUAAGUUAGAAGUUUAAUGUACGGGCUUAACCCGUAAUCUGCUUCUAAUACUGUUUUUCUUGAGUAUGGGAGAGGGAGAUGGAAUUCCAGGUGUAGCGGUGGAAUGCGUAGAUAUCUGGAAGAACACCAGCUGCGAAGGCGGUCUCCUGGCCCAAUACUGACGCUGAGGCUCGAAAGCUAGGGGAGCAAACAGGAUUAGAUACCCUGGUAGUCCUAGCUGUAAACGAUGGACACUAGAUGCUGGAGGAGUCAAUCCUUUCGGUGUCGUAGCUAACGCGUUAAGUGUCCCGCCUGGGGAGUACGCUCGCAAGGGUGAA
rnacentral:rRNA from 1 species